rnacentral:lncRNA from 1 species
CAUGCUGUCAUCGAAGUGCCGCGUUGGCAAGUAAUAUAUAACGUGUCAUGCAACUCCAUGUUGCAGUCACUGGCAAUGUAAUGUUGGUUUUUCUCAAAGGAAAAGUUACGGUUUGUUCAGUGUGAGCGAAGAUGAAAAAUGGAUGUCACGGUUUUUAUAUGAAAAUUUUGGGUAUUGAGCAUAAAAAACAUUGUAAAACGU